rnacentral:rRNA from 1 species
AGAAUCAACGCUGGCGGCGUGCCUAACACAUGCAAGUCGAACGAGAAAGGGGAGCAAUCCCUGAGUAAAGUGGCGCACGGGUGAGUAACACGUGACUAACCUACCCUGGAGUGGGGGAUAACUGAGGGAAACCUUAGCUAAUACCGCAUAACACCUACGGGUCAAAGGAGCAAUUCGCGUUUGGGAGGGGUCGCGGCCGAUUAGUUAGGUUGGGCGGGUAAUGGCCCACCAAGACAGUGAUCGGUAUCC